GCCCAGUAAGCAGUGUAUACCUUUAACUGAAUAAAUCAGGCAAAUAAUACUAUACAUAUCGAUUUACUGAUAAUAACAAAAUCAAUAUGUAAUUUCAUGAAAUCAUAAUCAUAAUCAUACUAUCAAUCAUAUACAAAAUUCAAUUCAUCAUAAUUUCAAAUUAUGCUUUUCAUCUUAAAUUCAUCAAUUUCUUAAGUUCUUCUUACCAACCAUGACUAUGACCACAUUAUCCCUGUGGCAGGGUCAUAAUACCGCGUAUCUGCUUGCGGUGGGCUGCGAAUCAUCUGGCAGCCAAGUCCUUUGGAACCGCUGGUCUCGCUGACGGUUUGUCGCUGGUCUCUCUGGCGACAUGUCACUGGUCUCGCUAGCGAUAUAAAUCCUCAGGACAAUCAAUUGCCAACGUAUAUGCCCCCAUUGGCGGGG
rnacentral:lncRNA from 1 species